rnacentral:rRNA from 1 species
CGAGAGUGUCGGGUUAAGUCCCGUAACGAGCGCAACCCUUGUCCUUAGUUACCAGCACGUUAUGGUGGGCACUCUAAGGAGACUGCCGGUGACAAACCGGAGGAAGGUGGGGAUGACGUCAAGUCAUCAUGGCCCUUACGGCCUGGGCUACACACGUGCUACAAUGGUCGGUACAAAGGGUUGCCAAGCCGCGAGGUGGAGCUAAUCCCAUAAAACCGAUCGUAGUCCGGAUCGCAGUCUGCAACUCGACUGCGUGAAGUCGGAAUCGCUAGUAAUCGUGAAUCAGAAUGUCACGGUGAAUACGUUCCCGGGCCUU